CUGUCUAUUUUUUACUAACUUGAUAUUGCUAAGGAUGUGAAAAUACCUCUACAUUAAUAAAAAACAAGAAGACCCUAAAAAUUUUUUAUAAAGUACAUUGCUACUAUUAUUUUGUUGGGGCGACAGAAUAACAAUCAACUUAUUUUAUAUCUUAUGAAAAUUUUUUAUAAUGAUAAAUAACAUUACUCUAGGGAUAACAGCUUAAUUAUUACUAAUUUGUGACCUCGAUGUUGGACUAAGGAAGGUUUAAUUCAUAAAAUUAAUCAACACGUUCUGUUCGAACGGGACCCUUACUUGAUCUGAG
rnacentral:rRNA from 1 species